UACCACACACAGCUUUGAGCAACUCUGCACGACCAUACCAUUCAACAUGGAAUGCAUUAUACUACAGCUGAAUCUGAGAAUCUGUAGUUUCUUAUUUUACUUAACUAUGCAAAGUCUAUGACACAUCUCUACACACAUCUCGGUGCAUGGAUCUCUAUGAUUGAUCGCAAUUGCUCAUAGGGCAAUUACAAUUAAUUGGCAAUUACAGCUAAUCUGUGGAGCCUUCUUGGGCUGGGAUUCUUCUGGUGCACCUUAUGGAUUAUGCAAAUAGGGAGUUUGAAGGCUGGGCAGCCACUUUAGGUUGUCUGUCAUGUUCUGUAUGGCGUUCCUGACCAGUUGAGCAAUGUUUAGGUCGGUGAUAUAGGUUUUAAAAAACAUACACAUAAAUGCCUGGACCCUAGAUAAUUACAGUUUAACGAGAUGUUCAAUAUUAUUCACUUCACCUGUGGUUAGUCUUAAUGUUGGGCCUCUUUAUAAACCUCAGCCACUUAUACCGUCAGACCGUUUUGGAAUAUGUCGAGAGGUGACAAAAUACAGUGUGAAAAGGAAGAUCUGGAGCACACAGACCAUUUAGUGACUAAGCUGUGUCAAUCAGUCAACAUGUGCUCUGCUUAAUACUGCUGAAAGCAGUCAGAAUUGCUGAGUGAUUAGGACUGCACUACAGCCCAAAGCGGAAUAUGUCUAAAAAGCAGAUCAGAGAGGAACCCGGAAAGAUGUGACUCAUGAGUAAAUUAAAAAGGUGUUAUUAAAAGUCAUACAGUGAGUGACAGAACAUGCCACAGCAAUAAUCAAAGCCUGGGUAUCUGUAGAUUCUUCAGUCGCUACUUCAGAACAUCUCACAUGCCCAAGUGUCAGGGAGAA